AAGUCGUAACAAGGUUUCCGUAGGUGAACCUGCGGAAGGAUCAUUAUUGAAUACGCUUGAGUGUUGAUGCUGGCCCUUUCGGGGGCAUGUGCUCGCAUUCAAACUAUUUAUCUUCUCUUGUGCACCUUUUGUAGUCUUUGAAUGUCACCUUUCCGCUGCAAAUGCGGGUUUUGGAGAGGCUUCAUGCUUCUCUGGGCUUCAAAGACUAUGUCUUCAUAUACCUUUAAACAGUUUAGAAUGUCUUUUUAACGGCCUAACAGCCAUUAAACCUAAUACAACUUUCAACAACGGAUCUCUUGGCUCUC
rnacentral:misc_RNA from 1 species